UACAGAGGGGGCAAGCGUUAUUCGGAAUUACUGGGCGUAAAGCGUGCGCAGGCGGUGAUGUAAGACAGUUGUGAAAUCCCCGGGCUCAACCUGGGAACUGCAUCUGUGACUGCAUCGCUGGAGUACGGUAGAGGGGGAUGGAAUUCCGCGUGUAGCAGUGAAAUGCGUAGAUAUGCGGAGGAACACCGAUGGCGAAGGCAAUCCCCUGGACCUGUACUGACGCUCAUGCACGAAAGCGUGGGGAGCAAACAGG
rnacentral:rRNA from 1 species